CUAGUUUCUUCUUCUGUCGCCUGUUAGCAGAGACACAAAUUGCUAGCUGUUUAGCUUCAGAUCCCAAAAUGUAUUUUGGAUUUUGUGUGAGAGUGCUUGUACUCUCACUGUUGACUCUCGGGCAGCAAUCAAAUGCACUCGGUGAGAGAAGAGGAGGCUCCAGUGGCAUUGAACCUCUCUUUGAAUACACAAGCAACCACAAACUAGUGCUUCCUUCUGAUAUUGAGAGCUCUGCACAGGCUGGAAGGUUUCUAGGUAGUUCUGGAUCCAGUCACAGUGCAGUUGGGCAAGUAGAUAGGUACAGUCCACAGGGAAGUGUUUCUAGUUACGGCUCCAACCCCAAUGCAAAAGGUGUCAUCCAGACCAAAGCUGGCAUGUGGGAUUAUGUCUCACCCGAAAAUGGAAAAAGAUUUGUCUCUGGUAUUGCUUCAAGUGGGGGAAUUGUUAUGAAAGCUGGUCCUCAGCCCCCUUCCGAGCCCCAGCC